rnacentral:lncRNA from 1 species
AAACCUUCUCCCUUUCUCUGAAACAAUAGCAUAACAUCACAACAUAGAAAAACAUACGAUAAAAUAUCAAUUGGCAGACUUAACUCAAUCAAAAAACGUAUGAUUACACAAUGAACGAAUAAAUUUUAUCUGCGAUAUCUGAAUACAAAUGCACAGUUAAUUAAAUAUUAGAGACAAACAUUCAUGACCAAAAAGCUGACAAACAAAUUCAAACAC